rnacentral:rRNA from 1 species
ACUCCUACGGGAGGCAGCAGUGGGGGAUUUUGCGCAAUGGGGGAAACCCUGACGCAGCAACGCCGCGUGAGUGAUGAAGGCCUUCGGGUCGUAAAGCUCUGUCGGAAGGGAAGAAAUGGUGGGAUGCUAAUACCAUCUCAUCUUGACGGUACCUUCAAAGGAAGCACCGGCUAACUCCGUGCCAGCAGCCGCGGUAAUACGGAGGGUGCAAGCGUUGUUCGGAAUUAUUGGGCGUAAAGCGCGUGUAGGCGGUUUAUUAAGUCUGAUGUGAAAGCCCCGGGCUCAACCUGGGAAGUGCAUUGGAAACUGGUAGACUUGAAUACGGGAGAGGGUAGUGGAAUUCCUAGUGUAGGAGUGAAAUCCGUAGAUAUUAGGAGGAACACCGGUGGCGAAGGCGGCUACCUGGACCGAUAUUGACGCUGAGACGCGAAAGCGUGGGUAGCAAACAGGAUUAGAUACCCUGGUAGUCCACGCCGUAAACGAUGAGAACUAGGUGUCGCGGGUA